rnacentral:lncRNA from 1 species
GACCCCUUGUGCCUGUCAAGUGCCCUUGCCCCCACCCGGGCAGUUUCUCUCAGCCCCCGUUUCUGAGGGCAGGGCGGCCUAACCUAACAUCAUCUCAGAAAAAAGCAGGAGAUCCUCAGCUUAUGAGCUAACUCGCUCAUUGAUAAGGAGCCCUACAGCUGUGCCCGCAAGGAUCAGAAGGCAGGCAGUGAUUCCAUGUGCCCGUGGGGUGGCUGAACGCCGGGAAGCCGUGUCAGUGCUGAGGUGGCUGCGCUGUGGGCAGUGUUCCCAAGGUCUCAGAGAUACUGUAACAAUCCCUGGAGGCAUACCACCAGUUCUGUGCAGUCCUUUGGAUGUGGGAUGUUUGCCAGAUGAUCACACCUGUGACAAUCAG